rnacentral:lncRNA from 7 species
UGAUGGGAAGAUAGUUAUUAAAGGCUGUAUGGAGAGCAAGAUCAAUAUUCGGUUUGAUGAUGUCAGAUGAAGUGGUGUCAUCUAGAGGUACUAAAUAGGAUGAGGGUAUUGCUGUGACAAGUACUGCAGAAACUCCAGCUUCAGUGACCCAGCAGGACAUGGAAGCAACAGGGGGGAGGGCACACUGCUGGUGAACAAAGAUGAAGAGGGAGCUGCUCCAGGCACAGAUCUGUGUGCCUCAAUAUGCUGGUGCCUCAUGAUGGGCAACGCAGAAGACUCUAAUUCCUGGGUAUAACUCUACAAACUUCAUAACACAUAUGGUAGCAUGGCUCUUGUUCUCCAGGAAAAGUUGACUUCUCUGGACCGUAGCCUAAAUAAAUGUAAUUUGG